GUAGGACUUAUUCAGGGCAUUUGCAAUGUAUGGGAACCAGUCUACGAGGCAACAAAAAUUCCGCCAAGAAUAAACAAAGAGAUUGCGAGAUGUUGUUUACGUGUGUCACACGACACUGACUGCAAGAAACAAAGAGUGGAGAGCUAAUGCAUGGUGCUAAGUAUGGAAAGGUCUCUUGUGGUUUGGUUGUGCCAGAGACAAAUGUGCAUUAUUUCCAUGUUGGGUCAGAAGUCUCGGUACACUUUAGGUGAGUGGCAGUUGGGUAGUUGGAUGACCUUCAGAUAGUUUGAG